CCACAUACAAGCACAGUGUAGUACAGCUGGAAUAUAGAGAAGAGCUUGAAGACUUAUGAGCAACUAUCCCGGUACUCUUGGAGGCUCUGCAACCACAGUUUGAGAAACUCCGCGUUCAAAGUUAAAAACUGUCACCUGAAUAGUUAAUAACAUCAAAGAUUGUGAAAGCAAGUAUAAAUAACACAGAGAUUAAAAUAAUGAGGCAGGAUCAGAAACACUGACCUGCUGUGUAAGAAGUCCAACUGCCCUGAGGCCACCAGGCUGGAGAGACCAUGUAUGGAUAGGUUCUCUGAUCAACAGUUUCUAUCAAGCCCAGCCUUCUAGCCAUCAAGCCCAGCCUUCUAGCCAUGUCCACCAAUGUGCCUGACAUGUGAGUGAAGCCAUCACAGACCCUUCAGACCAGCCCACCUGCCAGCUGAAUACUUAAAACAAGAAGGAAGAUCUCCCAUAGAUUUUCAAGGUGCUGAGAAAACAGCUUCUAGACAUAUCUCGAAAGCCAAGUUUCUGAGAUGUAAUCAGAAAGCUGUAGUGGAAGGAAAUUUGAACCAGAAGACUGCAGUCCUGUCUAUGAACGUUAAACCUGUGUGGCUUAGGAAACGAGUCUAACCUCGUCUGAGCCUCAGUUUGUUCACCUAAAAGAUGGAGAUGAGAGCUCAUUUGUCUCAUUCUCAGGGGUUAUGGUGGCCAUCCAGACAUAAAGAAAUUAGAACGUUCAUUCAUCUGCAGAUGCUCACACAUUCCUACAGGAUGACUGAAACCCACAGCAAACAAUCCUCAUGAAAUACAGCUCAGCUCAUCCUGAAGAAUAAG
rnacentral:lncRNA from 10 species